UACAUUUAAUACUCCAGCUAUCCGGUUUGAAAUUCAAAUUGUUGUCCAAAAUUAGAUUACUCCCUCCCGAAGUUGAAGUCAAUUUCGUAAGUACUCUUUAAUUUUAGUUUUUUACCUCUUCUUUUUUUUUUACUUAUUCAAAAUUUGUAUAUGUGUUCUGUUUAUUAUUUUUUUCAUAUAUUUUGAUGAAAUAAUCGAUUUUUUGUUCUUGAUAGAUCUAAAAUUGGUCACACAAUGAAUGAAUCAUCUUCAUCUUUGAGGAUUACCAGAGGGUCAUUGGGAAAAUCAAAUCAAGUUAUACAAGAACAAACAAUGGAAGAGCUUAGAUCAAAG